rnacentral:lncRNA from 1 species
CUCAUUUUACAGAUGAGGAAACUGAGGCAAUUAGGGUCAAGUGACUUGUCCAGGAUUAUACAGCUGCUAUCUAAGGACAAAUCUGAACUCAGAUCUUCCUGAUAUCAGGACCUUCCUCUCUCCACUGCAUCACUUCAAUCCUAAUAUCCUGUAAUAAAUGCAUACGGCAGGGAGACGAGGAUUGUCACUGCAUUCAAGGACAGGAAUUGACUGGCAGCCUUGUUGCUAGGAAAACAGAAGAACCAUGGAGUACAUUUUCUUGCAAGAAUUCUGCAUAACUUGUCAAUGCAUAAGACACAGAUGCCCUGAGGCUUCCUUUUCUCAUUCUUUUCCAUUUCUUCCUCCAUGCUCUAGUUCUAAAUGAAUAUGUAUAUUUGGUGCCAGAGAACUGGAAUCACCUAUAUUCCCCCUAAGACAGGAAUGGUAAGGAAGGUGUCCCAUUGGUAUCUUUUGUUCCCAUGGGGCUUUUGAAAGAAAGUGUUGCAAGACAAGGGAAGUAUUCCAUCUUGCAGCUUGAGAAGAAUGAAGCCUAGAUGGGGGAUGGGAUAGGGAUGGUUCUUCACUUGAAUUUUGAGAAUGUCUCUUAACCACAGCACAAUUAAAGAGCUAGAAGAUGACCAAGAGCAAACUAUUUUAGUCAUCUUGGCCUCAGUUUCUUAGUCUGUAAAUUGAAGGGGUUAGAUUAAAUGAUGUCGAGGGUCACUUCUAGCUCUGUAUCUAUGAACCUAUAAUUCCAGGGUUCUUUUCUGGGCUACAAAAUAGAUAUUUUAGAGAACUGGGGGCUGGGGGAGGGUAGCCAAAGAAAAACGUGGUCUUUGGUACUUUCCCCAGGCACAUGGAAAGUCUGAGAGAGGCAGUGGCUGAGAGAGGAUGUCAUGAAUCACUGAGCACAUGUGUUCUACAUGGGGACCAUUUCCAUUUCUGAAUAAAUGAUGUGAUAAUCUGAGAGAAAAUGUGCAGGAUAGAUUUUCAUAAACCAAACCCUAAAAGCUCAGUGAGAUCCCAGAACUCUUUUACAGGAGGCCAGAGAGACUUUCAGCACUUUGAAUGUUUGCAUCUGAAAGCUGCUGAGGGGUGUGGGACAAGAACUUUUUGCCCAAGCACAGUGGGAAAGACAAAAGAAAGAAGAAGGAAUUCCUGCUCUCUAAGAGCUUGCUCUCUUAUGGAGGAAGCAAAAAACAGACCUUCAAAGCUGAAAAUGAGAACAGAAAGUACCAGAAGCCAGAAAGAUAAGAAAGCUGCCUCAGGGACCAAGCACAAGAUAAGUGGCCAUUUCCUCAACUCUGAAAUGGAGAUAAUAAUGGCACCUACUUCCCAGGGAUGUUGUUGGCCUAACAUCUUUGUUGUCAGCUGGGUACUCAGCCCAUUAAGAGACAUUCGAGUUCAGCUGGAGACAGGCAGCUUCAAAGACAACUGUUCUUACCUUCCAACUGGGAUUUGGUCAUGAGCUGCUGUAUCAGCACAGUCAAACCUAGUCACAGUCACACCUAGGCACAGCGCAUUUCUUCUCCUACCCCAAUUCAAUUCAACAAAUAGUUAUUAGUGCCCAUUACUGCAAGGCUCUGUGCUGGGUCCUGGGGAUAUAAAGUCAACAAAUAAAACUGUCCUUGCUUAAGAGAUAUGGCA